UUAUAGGAGGUCAGUAAAAAAAACAAAGAACAUCGUGGGAAGCAGACAAUGAUGCAUACUAUAGGGACAAAAAGCUUUACACGUGUUUCUGCCGAGAUUGAGGAAGACGAAGGCAUUCAGCUUUCUCGUGCAGAUUUAUUCAUUCGCACACAUAUAAAUAAGGAUGGCAAAGCUACUGAUGCUGCUGCUUCGGAGAUGAUUGAAAACAUAAAAGAACUUCAAAAAAGUUACUCUGACUCGCCUAUUGGCAGUUCCAAUGAUUUGUUCUCCAUUGUGAGGGGAGAAGAGAGAACUGGUCGUGUGCGGAUGCUUGGCUUCGGGCCUACACCAAGCGAUGUUUGGGGGCCCUCUCCUAGUAAAGCUGAACUGAUUAAUAAUGCGAAAAAAUCUGAUGAGGAGGCACGUGCUGCAUGCAUAGAGUUGCAGGAGAGCAUUUAAAAAACGCAAGCCGAGUAUGACAACAAGUUAGAAAAUUUACGAGCCAACUAUAAUAACAAGUUGGAAAAUUUACAACAACAGUUGGCUAUGCUAAUGCAGAUGCAACAACAAAAUUGUAGUGGACAGGGUUCUAAUUCUUUAAAUGCUCCUCCUAGAGUAUCCCCAAAUUCAUUUUCUAGUCAUGAUGCCAAUUCAGUUAAGGGUAAUUCAAAUCAAAUGGGCAAGAAGACUGGUUGAAGUUGAAGAUGGGGUCGUGGCUGUGAUUUCUGAAUUUCCUUCGCCUUGGAUGGGUUCUUUUUGAAAAACUUGUACUACAUUUGUCAAAAAUUCUUAAUUCUUUUGUCUGACAUUUAGUAGCUUUAUUUAGAUAAUUUGGAUGGUAUAUUGGCAGGUUAACUUGUGGUUGUAUUAGUAUACAUUUUCGCUUUUUGGUUGACAUUUAUCAGCUUAACUUGUGGUUGUAUUAGUAGCCAAUUUCGAUGGUAAUUUUCAUAUUGGCAUGGUUAACUUUGUAGUUGUAUUAUGUAAAAACAAUUUGGAUGGUAUUUUUAUAUUAACUUGUGUUAUAUUGGAUGACAUUUAGUAGUUGGUAGUUGCAAUAGUUGUAUUGAUAUUUUUUCCCAAAAACUAUAAAAAAUAUAUAUAUAUAAAUUA